rnacentral:rRNA from 1 species
AGAGUUUGAUCCUGGCUCAGUAGAGUUUGAUCCUGGCUCAGUAGAGUUUGAUCCUGGCUCAGUAGAGUUUGAUCCUGGCUCAGUAGAGUUUGAUCCUGGCUCAGGACGAACGCUGGCGGCGUGCUUCACACAUGCAAGUCGAACGGAAAGGCCCGCUUGCGGGUACUCGAGUGGCGAACGGGUGAGUAACACGUGGGUAACCUGCCCCCAUCUCUGGGAUAACCGUUGGAAACGGCGGCUAAUACCGGAUACGACCUGGCUCCGCAUGGUGCUGGGUGGAAAGUUUUUGCGGUUGGGGAGGGGCCCGCGGCCUAUCAGCUUGUUGGUGCGGUAGUGGCGCACCAAGGCUUUGACGGGUAGCCGGCCUGAGAGGGCGGUCGGUCACAUUGGGACUGAGAUACGGCCCAGACUCCUACGGGAGGCAGCAGUGGGGAAUUUUGCACAAUGGGCGAAAGCCUGAUGCAGCGACGCCGCGUGAGGGAUGACGGCUUUCGGGUUGUAAACCUCUUUUAUCCACCACGAAGGCCCCGUAUUCGCGGGGUUGACGGUAGUGGUUGAAUAAGCGCCGGCUGACUACGUGCCAGCAGCCGCGGUAAGACGUAGGGCGCGAGCGUUGUCCGGAUUUAUUGGGCGUAAAGGGCUCGUAGGCGGUUGAUUGCGUCCGCCGUGAAAGGCCUCGGCUUAACCGGGGUUUUGCGGUGGAUACGGGUCGACUUGAGGCAAUUAGGGGAGAUCGGAAUUCUACGUGUAGCGGUGAAAUGCGCAGAUAUGUGGAGGAACGCCGGUGGCGAAGGCGGAUCUCUGAGAUUGUUCUGACGCUGAGGAGCGAAAGCGUGGGGAGCGAACAGGAUUAGAUACCCUGGUAGUCCAUGCUGUAAACGGUGGGCGCUAGGUGUGGGGUCACGUUGGUUGAUUCUGUGCCGUAGCUAACGCAUUAAGCGCCCCGCCUGGGGAGUACGGCCGCAAGGCUAAAACUCAAAGGAAUUGACGGGGGCCCGCACAAGCGGCGGAGCAUGCGGAUUAAUUCGAUGCAACGCGAAGAACCUUACCUAGGUUUGACAUCACCCGGAAACCCCUAGAGAUAGGGGCCUCUUCGGACUGGGUGACAGGUGGUGCAUGGCUGUCGUCAGCUCGUGUCGUGAGAUGUUGGGUUAAGUCCCGCAACGAGCGCAACCCUUAUCCCGUGUUGCCAGCAUUCAGUUGGGGACUCACGGGAGACUGCCGGGGUUAACUCGGAGGAAGGUGGGGAUGAGGUCAAGUCAUCAUGCCCCUUAUGUCUAGGGCUUCACGCAUGCUACAUUGGCCGGUACAGCGGGUUGCGAUACCGUGAGGUGGAGCGAAUCCCUGUAAAGCCGGUCUUGGUUCGGAUUCGAGUCUGCAACUCGACUCGAUGAAGGUGGAGUCGCUAGUAAUCGCAGAUCAGCAACGCUGCGGUGAAUGCGUUCCCGGGCCUUGUACACACCGCCCGUCACGUCAUGAAAGUUGGCAACACCCGAAGCCUGCGGCCUAACCGGUUUACCGGAGGGAGUGGUCGAAGGUGGGGCUGGCGAUUAGGACGAAGUCGUAACAAGGUAGCCGUA